UACGAAGGGGGCUAGCGCUGCUCGGAAUGACUGGGCGUAAAGGGCGCGUAGGCGGAUGGCACAGUCAGAUGUGAAAUUCCCGGGCUUAACCUGGGGGCUGCAUUUGAUACGUGUUGUCUAGAGUGAGGAAGAGGGUUGUGGAAUUCCCAGUGUAGAGGUGAAAUUCGUAGAUAUUGGGAAGAACACCGGUGGCGAAGGCGGCAACCUGGUCCUUGACUGACGCUGAGGCGCGAAAGCGUGGGGAGCAAACAGG
rnacentral:rRNA from 1 species